rnacentral:lncRNA from 1 species
AAGCUCUCUGGGCUCACUCCUACAUUCUCUGAACACCAGACUGCCCUGCACUUCUGAGGCUUGAUCUGUGAUGCCGGGAGAGAUGGGACGCUGCCAGAAGGGGCUACUGGCAGGCUGCCAAGAGGCUGCCCACAGAGGCCUUUGCCCUGACAAAUUCACCCCUGGGGCCCUGGGUCUGCCCUCCGCCUGGCAGCUGGUGGAGAGGCGAGCCAGGUCCCAGCUGUGGACUCAGACGAAUCAAUUGCUCAGGAGGCCAAUAUAUACACCAGGUGAGUUGGCUGACUCAUUAGGCACUUCCCACAAUCCAGUUCCUUCAUCCCCCUGCCGCCCCUGCCACAAGCUUCCUGCAGGAGUCUGGAGGACCUCAAAUAUUUCCAAGGAGGCCAGACUUUGGGAGGCUGAGGACUUCACGGCCCGAGGGGAGAGCAAGCCGUCCGGCCGCUGAGACCCACUCAGACCACGAACAGGGCAGGUGCUCAGAGGGCUCGCCCUCCCAUCCACCCCAAACUGGCUGUUG